CAAAAAGAUUGUGAUGAAGGCCAACCAACAGAGCAACAGAGUGGUGUCCAUCACACACAGCAUGCUGAGAUGACCAUUGUGUUGCUAAAGCGGUUCGCCCACAAUGGCCUCACACAAGCUCCAGAUGGUUCGGUGACCCCAGUGCUGGAAGGAAUGCGUUCGCUACGAGAAGAACUUGCAGAGAACUCUGAAGUGGACACUAAUAUGUUUGACUGGUCUGAUUCUGUAUUUGCUAAAUAAAAAGCCUUAGUGAUGCCCAUA